rnacentral:tRNA from 1 species
GCUGGGAGGUGGAUUGUUCAUUUAUCUGGCUCAAACCUGGAUGAACACCGGUUCCACACCGGCUUACAGUG